AUGAAACACUCCUACGGGAGGCAGCAGUGGGGAAUUUUGGACAAUAGGCGCAAGCCUGAUCCAGCAAUGCCGCGUGCAGGAUGAAGGCCUUCGGGUUGUAAACUGCUUUUGUACGGAACGAAAAGCCCUGGGUUAAUACCCUGGGGUCAUGACGGUACCGUAAGAAUAAGCACCGGCUAACUACGUGCCAGCAGCCGCGGUAAUACGUAGGGUGCGAGCGUUAAUCGGAAUUACUGGGCAUAAAGCGUGCGCAGGCGGUUUUGUAAGACAGAGGUGAAAUCCCCGGGCUCAACCUGGGAACUGCCUUUGUGACUGCAAGGCUAGAGUACGGCAGAGGGGGAUGGAAUUCCGCGUGUAGCAGUGAAAUGCGUAGAUAUGCGGAGGAACACCGAUGGCGAAGGCAAUCCCCUGGGCCUGUACUGACGCUCAUGCACGAAAGCGUGGGGAGCAAACAGGAUUAGAUACCCUAGUAGUCCGAAGUUC
rnacentral:rRNA from 1 species